AUCCCCACAGUCACCACCAUUGUGUCCUUGAGUAAGGCACUUAACUCCAGGUUGCUCCGGGGGGAUUGUCCCUGUAAUAAGUGCUCUGUAUAAUACAUUGGUACUCAGAAGGUUGCUGGUUUGAUCCCCACAGUCACCACCAUUGUGUCCUUGAGUAAGACACUUAACUCCAGGUUGCUCCGGGGGGAUUGUCCCUGUAAUAAGGGCUCUGUAUAAUACAUUGGUACUCAGAAGGUUGCUGGUUUGAUCCCCACAGUCACCACCAUUGUGUCCUUGAGUAAGACACUUAACUCCAGGUUGCUCCGGGGGGAUUGUCCCUGUAAUAAGUGCACUGUAUAAUACAUUGGUACUCAGAAGGUUGCUGGUUUGAUCCCCACAGUCACCACCAUUGUGUCCUUGAGUAAGACACUUAACUCCAG